AUAUUGGCGAGAGACCGAUAGCGAACAAGUACCGUGAGGGAAAGAUGAAAAGCACUUUGGAAAGAGAGUUAAACAGUACGUGAAAUUGUUGAAAGGGAAACGCUUGAAGUCAGUCGCGUCGUUCGAGGCUCAGCCUGGCUUCUGCCUGGUGUACUCCUCGUUUGACGGGCCAACAUCGAUUUUGGUCGGCAGAUAAAGGCGUGGGGAAUGUGGCACCUCCGGGUGUGUUAUAGCCCCUCGUCGCAUGUGUCGUCCGGGAUCGAGGACCGCAGCACGCCUUCAUGGCCGGGGUUCGCCCACGUAACGUGCUUAGGAUGUUGGCUUAAUGGCUUUAAGCGACCCGUCUUGAAACACGGACC
rnacentral:rRNA from 1 species